rfam:Pseudomonas sp. GM78 PMI35_contig101.101, whole genome shotgun sequence.
GGGUAAACCGGCAUGGAUGCCGGUUUAGCCGCGCUGGGCCAAGGAUGGCCCAUCGCGGCGGGCCC